rnacentral:lncRNA from 1 species
GUAGUUCCUUCCUCACCUCCAUCAUCUAAAGAGAGGAAAAAGUCUCGAAAUGUGCACACGUAAAAUAAAUCCACACAUCACAAACUUUUGAACUUCAACUUCACAGAUGUUAAGCUCAAAUGUUCGCUAUCAAACAGCUUCCUGUGGGUACAAUGUCUAAAACUAUGUGUGACAUUCUUUGUAUUCACUUACAGAUUGGUAAAUGCGUGUGCACGGAUCGCCUGGUACCUACGGAUCAAUUUCACACGUGCGUGUGGACUUUUGAGACUCUCUUCCGCAAAGAUUCACAAAUGUGUCCUUGGAAAACUGGCACAUCUGGGCUUUGGGUGAACUCGUUUAUAUAUAAAAUAAAUGUGACUAUACAUGUAUGCACGUCUGUGUUCAUCACACGCCGGGGGCCGCUGGCGCUGACUCAGGACGACUGAUUGAUGAGGAGGUGAAGGCAAGAGUUUCCUUCCAGGACCGGGGAUAAGCCUUCAGUGUGUGCGCCGCUCUAACGAUGACGAUGAUGAGUUCUGGGAUGUGUCUGGCCACUACUUGACGGAGCGUAAAAGAAGUCGGUAUAUUGGAAGGAGUAAAACUGUAUGGAGCUGCUGGUAUGGAGUCUGACAGCCCGUGAGUUUCGUCAAAGCCCGAUCCCACACGUUAAAAGCCUCUGUCUGUGAAGCCACGCAGUUUUGUGUUUGUGGGCUUCUGAUAUCACGCACAAAGAAUCCAAAAUUUCAUUCCCACAGAUUUUAAUUUCUUUUAACUGAUGCAUUUGAGAUGCUGACUCUGCCACAUCAACGUCAACGCAGAUGAGUGUCUUCGCAGGCUGCGUUGUACAACGAAAUAGGGAGGCCUUGGGUGUUAUUGUGCAAUAUUUAUCAUUUAUAUGCAAAAUAUCGGUGAUAUGAACUUAAUCGUCUUCAAGAAAGUUUUCAGAAAUGUCUCACUGAUUAGCACUCCCUCCUCUGCACUCGCCGUGGAGCAGAUUCAAUGAGACGAAUGAGGCUAUACCCGUCCUUUAUGAUAAAUGAGUUUCUAAUAUUUUAUCCAUUAAUGUCCCUAAACGUCUUGUGUAACCCUUGGCAGAGUGAGAGCAGCACCAAGUGGCUGCAGACAGAACUGCCGUCUCUCCAUCAGAAACUCACAGUAAUGUCUUUGAAGCUUGUAUAACUUUAGAUUUCUAAAAUAAUUCUUGGACAUAAUACCAUGUGGCGUGAUAAACAAAUGACUCUCACUGAAGAGGAUCAGCAGCAGCACGCGAUGAAAUAUCAAAUGAUAUUAAUAUGGAAUCAUUCAGAAGUAUUUCAUGAUAGAUAAAAAAAAGUGGGAGCCAGUAAUAUUUAUAGUUAUAGCAGAUGUUGUUAUGCACAGUGUCAAAAAUAAAACUAUAACUUCAAAACCAUCGCAGUAUAUUACCUAGCAAAUAAAAGACCUCGAAGC